GGCGUGCUAAUACAUGCAAGUCGAGCGAACUGAUUAGAAGCUUGCUUCUAUGACGUUAGCGGCGGACGGGUGAGUAACACGUGGGCAACCUGCCUGUAAGACUGGGAUAACUUCGGGAAACCGAAGCUAAUACCGGAUAGGAUCUUCUCCUUCAUGGGAGAUGAUUGAAAGAUGGUUUCGGCUAUCACUUACAGAUGGGCCCGCGGUGCAUUAGCUAGUUGGUGAGGUAACGGCUCACCAAGGCAACGAUGCAUAGCCGACCUGAGAGGGUGAUCGGCCACACUGGGACUGAGACACGGCCCAGACUCCUACGGGAGGCAGCAGUAGGGAAUCUUCCGCAAUGGACGAAAGUCUGACGGAGCAACGCCGCGUGAGUGAUGAAGGCUUUCGGGUCGUAAAACUCUGUUGUUAGGGAAGAACAAGUACGAGAGUAACUGCUCGUACCUUGACGGUACCUAACCAGAAAGCCACGGCUAACUACGUGCCAGCAGCCGCGGUAAUACGUAGGUGGCAAGCGUUAUCCGGAAUUAUUGGGCGUAAAGCGCGCGCAGGCGGUUUCUUAAGUCUGAUGUGAAAGCCCACGGCUCAACCGUGGAGGGUCAUUGGAAACUGGGGAACUUGAGUGCAGAAGAGAAAAGCGGAAUUCCACGUGUAGCGGUGAAAUGCGUAGAGAUGUGGAGGAACACCAGUGGCGAAGGCGGCUUUUUGGUCUGUAACUGACGCUGAGGCGCGAAAGCUGAACCC
rnacentral:rRNA from 2 species